AUUGAACGCUGGCGGCAGGCCUAACACAUGCAAGUCGAGCGGAUGACGGGAGCUUGCUCCUUGAUUCAGCGGCGGACGGGUGGGUAAUGCCUAGGAAUCUGCCUGGUAGUGGGGGACAACGUUUCGAAAGGAACGCUAAUACCGGAUGCCCUCCUCUGAUCGCAUGGUCGGAAGAGGAAAGGAUUCUGGAUCGGGAGGGUCUCGCGGCGCAUUAGCUAGUUGGUGAGGUAACGGCUCACCAAGGCGACGAUGCGUAGCCGACCUGAGAGGGUGAUCGGCCACACUGGGACUGAGACACGGCCCAGACUCCUACGGGAGGCAGCAGUAGGGAAUCUUCCGCAAUGGACGAAAGUCUGACGGAGCAACGCCGCGUGAGUGAAGAAGGUUUUCGGAUCGUAAAACUCUGUUGUCAGGGAAGAACAAGUACCAUAGUAAAUGAUGGUACCUUGACGGUACCUGACCAGAAAGCCACGGCUAACUACGUGCCAGCAGCCGCCGUAA
rnacentral:rRNA from 1 species